UCACCUUUUUAACAUCGAUAAUGAAUUAAAUAACUCUUAAUAAUAUAAUACUUAAUAUAAACUCAUGAAAUAAAUAAAUUGCUAAAUAUGUACAUGUAAACAAAAAAAAUCGAGUAAUAUUGCUUUUCAUAGUGUCCAUUUUUUUUUUUACACAAAAAAGAAUAAGAAGGGUACACAAUCCCAUACUUGGCUAAUCCAACUACUUAAAUCGAGCUAAACGGUCUUUCCGUGGCCAUAAUAGUUUCAGCCUAAAAGAUCAAAGAACCAAAAAAUCAAAUCAACCAAACAUGCUGUAAAACGCUACCCAACGUAUUCCCCGAGGCAACUUUUUUUCAUCCAAUAAUUGGUUUUUAAACAGGUUUUUCCGUAGAAUCAUCGGAAGAAACCUUUGCAGAAUGGGUUUUGGUAGACACCCAGAAGGAGAAACAGCCAGUAGCUGCAAGAAUUUUCUUUUCGUCAAAAACCUUAUCGUCAAUCUUUGCCUCCUGCUGUUCCUUGAUCUCCAUUUUCUUCAAUUUCUGCUUAUGGAGAGAUCGCAUCACAUAAACUUCUGCGCGACUAGCUCCAAGACCAGUCGUUGCCAUGGUGACUGAUUUAAAAUUUAAAAAAAAAAAAAAAACAGUAGUUUAGGCUGAUGAGAUAUUUUGCUACGCUUCGCGUUUGAAAGCAG
rnacentral:lncRNA from 1 species